UACGUAGGGUGCGAGCGUUAAUCGGAAUUACUGGGCGUAAAGCGUGCGCAGGCGGUGAUGUAAGACCGAUGUGAAAUCCCCGGGCUUAACCUGGGAACUGCAUUGGUGACUGCAUUGCUGGAGUAUGGCAGAGGGGGGUGGAAUUCCACGUGUAGCAGUGAAAUGCGUAGAGAUGUGGAGGAACACCGAUGGCGAAGGCAGCCCCCUGGGCCAAUACUGACGCUCAUGCACGAAAGCGUGGGGAGC
rnacentral:rRNA from 1 species